rnacentral:rRNA from 1 species
GACGAACGCUGGCGGCGUGCUUAACACAUGCAAGUCGAACGGAAAGGCCCUGCUCUUGUGGGGUGCUCGAGUGGCGAACGGGUGAGUAACACGUGAGUAACCUGCCCUUGACUUUGGGAUAACUUCAGGAAACUGCGGCUAAUACCGGAUAGGAGCUCCUGCUGCAUGGUGGGGGUUGGAAAGUUUCGGCGGUUGGGGAUGUACUCGCGGCUUAUCAGCUUGUUGGUGGGGUAGUGGCUUACCAAGGCUUUGACGGGUAGCCGGCCUGAGAGGGUGACCGGCCACAUUGGGACUGAGAUACGGCCCAGACUCCUACGGGAGGCAGCAGUGGGGAAUAUUGCACAAUGGGCGGACGCCUGAUGCAGCAACGCCGCGUGCGGGAUGACGGCCUUCGGGUUGUAAACCGCUUUCGCCUGUGACGAAGCGUGAGUGACGGUAAUGGGUAAAGAAGCACCGGCUAACUACGUG